AGAACAGUUUAUCUUUUUUUAAUCUUUUUUAUUUUUUUUAUCUUUUUAAAAAAAUUUUUUUAUCUUUUUAAAAAAGAUUUAUUUUAUUCAUAUGAGUGCUUUGCCUGCACAUAUGUCUGUGUACCACAUGUACGCCUGGUGCUUGCGGAAGUGGUUAGCCUCCAGGUGGGUGCUGGGAAUCGAACCCAGGUCCUCUGCAAGAACAACAGGUACUCUUAAUCCCAGAGCCAACUCUCCAGCUCCAACAGUCUUUUAAGGAGAACUUUCACAAAGAACUUGUGCUUUCUCCAGAACCUUGUGCGGUGCUGACUGACAAAUCAGAGCCUCGAUAUUGUGGGAAGGUUGCAGAUGCAGAGCCUAAAGAGAGCCUAUUUUUGAUUAUUCAGCCUCCUUAAAUAGCCAUUCCUUUUGCCCACUUGCCCGUGUCCGACCUAACAGAUAAAAACCUCUCUGAAUGCAUUAGCUCGGCAACCUUUACUAUCUAUCAACUAAGAGGCUAAAUAAAUGCCAUCAGGUAAUAGCUAAGGCGUGGACAUCGGGUAAUAGCUAAAGCGUGUAGCCCCGAUUCCUCUGCCUGGCUGUAGCCACCUAUGCAGUUUCCACUGGUGUAUUUGAAAAAGAGGCUUGACAGCCAGGCAUUGGUGGCGGCGGCUGUGUCUGCCUUUAAUCCCAGCACUCAGGAAACAAGGGCAGGUGUAUGAGUUCGAGGCCAGCCUGGUCUACAGAGAGAGUUCCAAGACAGCCAGCACUACACACAGAAACACUGUCUCAAAAACAAAAACAAGAAAAGAAAGAAAAGUGCUUUGACUUAGAACUUUUUGUGUUACUAUAAAAACUUACUAAAUGUGUAUUUCUUAGCCACAGCCAUUCAGUUCCAGCUCCAGAAUAAACUCGUACCCUUUGAUGUGAAAGUGCUGAAAUGCUACACUUUGCAUCAACACUUUCUGGUUUAGGAGCCCUCAGCCCUCACCCAUUUUAGCUGUCAGCAAGGCUGACCUCACCCCACAGCAGUCCAGCUGUUGUGAACCCUGCACAGACCCAUUGAGGAAGCAACAUGGCAACUGUACCACUUGGUGCCAACUUGUGAAUUUCGCUUCAACUGUCCUGUUUAAAACACUCUGUGACAGAGUUUUUUUGUUUGUUUGUUUGGUUUUUGUUUUGUUUUUUUGCCACGAAAAGCCUUUGUGAACUCCAGCAGCCAUUUUUACCCAGGCUCGAGUGGGAACACUUCCCCCAGAGUGCCCAGUGGGCCUGUGGUUAGUGCAAACGGGGCUUUUACAGCACAAAGAACUGACAAUAAAGGUGCAGGCUCAACUUC
rnacentral:lncRNA from 1 species